UACGGGGGGGGCAAGCGUUGUCCGGAAUCAUUGGGCGUAAAGAGCGCGUAGGCGGCCCUGUAAGUCCGCUGUGAAAGUCAAGGGCUCAACCCUUGGAUGCCGGUGGAUACUGCAGGGCUAGAGUCCGGAAGAGGCGAGUGGAAUUCCUGGUGUAGCGGUGAAAUGCGCAGAUAUCGGGAGGAACACCAAUGGCGAAGGCAGCUCGCUGGGACGUGACUGACGCUGAGACGCGAAAGCGUGGGGAGCAAACAGG
rnacentral:rRNA from 1 species